GCUCCCACCACCACCGCCUGAUCCAAGGCAGUCAGGCAAGGCAGGGACAGCCCCCCAGGCUGGGGACCAGACCAUGCUGCAGUGGUCCCCACAGUGCUCCCCAGGAAGGCAGUCUCUAACUCUCCACCCCAGGGCGCUCCCAAGGAGGUGAAAGGGGCAGCGCGCAGACCAGAGGGACAGCUGGAUACCCAGGCACGAUACUGGGGGCCUUGGUGGGACCUUCCCUCCAGGGCAUAAUGUGACACCCAGACUCUCUGUCUCUCCGCCUCAAGCCUCAGAUUCCCCGGAGAGGACGUCUGACUGGCCUGGUGGAUCCAGGGCCUGGGCAGCCUGGCCUGACUUCUAGAAGUGGGGGGCUCCGUGCAGACUCCAGCCUGCCGGGCUCCCCUGUGCUCAGGAAGGCCGGCGCGGGCCAGGUGCAGGGCUCUGGAGCGGAAAAGAAGGUUCUGCUGAAGCCGGCAAGGAAGAGUCGGGGCUUACCAGGUCAGCCUGACCAGCAGGCGAAGACUAAGCCUCCUCUGAGGUCAGUGCUGGGGCUCUGGAACCGGGAGAGAGCUGAGGGCGGCCCCCGCCCCCAGGCUAGAUGGCUGUGAAAGAAGCUGUGUGGUCCCUCCCAAUGCUCCCAGGAAGGACAGCUGUGCUCCGAGUGUCCCCGCCCCUCCCCUCUCCCGCAGUGGAUACCAAAACUUGGGGCUUCUGAAUCUUCUUGUCCAAAUUUGCAGAUGUGUCACAGAAGCAGACACUCAGACUGAGUUGUCCUGGAGAGGGUGCAGAGGGAAAUGAUCAUGUUGGGUGCCAUUUAGUUGGGCACUGGGUUGUCAGUAUUGGUUAAGACACAGUCCUUGCCUCAAGUUUCUCGUAGACUGGAGGGGAGGCAGAAGGCAGACGCUACAACAAAAUCAGCCCUACGGUUAAGAAAUUGAAUCUGUGGGACAAAGUACAACUCAAGCCCCAAAGAGGAAAUGGACCGAAAAAGUGAACUGGUCAGCUGUCACCACAGUGCUGUGUAACAAACGACCCCAUCGUUCAGUGGCUUGCCUUGUGAGCUCUUACUUCUGACUCCCACAUCUGCAGAUUGCCUGGGGCAGCCCUGCCAACUUCAGCUGGGCAGCUCGAUUGGCUCCUGGGCGGGGAUUUGGUUGAAGUCUGCCUUGUCUCAUUCUUUUGGACCUGGUGGGCAAUGCCUGGUGGGCAGUGCAGGGGGAAACCAUGCCCAUGGCAAUGACAGCAGCCCAAGUAGUGGGUAUGCUGUUCCAUCAAGUCCAUGUCAAGGCUUUGCACCAGGCCUGGUCUCCAAGCAUCUUGUUGACCAAAGGGGGCUGGAGGUAUAUUAUUCCCACAGUGGGAGUGGAGGGAAGUGCAUCUUUGCCAAAUGAUGAUCCAAGCUUCACAGAAGGCUGCAUGGAAGAGGUGUCAUUUGUCCUAGGCCUUGAAGAAGAAGCUGGAUUUUCCCAAGUGAAGAGUCUGAAACUUCAGCCAUGUGUUAAGUUCAAGACCUAGUUUUCGACAUGGAGUCACAAUGGAAAGUGUAGUGGCCGUCCCCAACGGGGAAAUUGUGCCGGUCCCCCCCCACCCCCGCAUAAAUCAGCCAAUGUUAUGGUCCCCUAUCCCCAUUAUGGAGCUCAGGUCUCCAGUCCUGAAGCUUGAAGCCUGAACCAACAUAGCCCUCUCAGGGAAAGGACUCCUCGAAGGCCAAGUCCAGACAGCAGGAGGAGCACCACAAUAAAGCGAACUCAGCAGCGGGACUGGGAAGGCCAUUUGGAAAGGGCUGGCAGGGAGCAGAGGACCCCUGUGCACACGGAACUGCGCGAGACAAUGGUGGGAAGGAUGGUUACAGGACAGGAUGCAAACAGCACAAACCUUGACCAUGUAAAAAUAAGAAGUCACAGCUUCUGGGAGGGGAAGGAGAUAGGAAGUGGGUGAGCUCAUUUCCUCCUCCUAAAUCCCAGGCUGUCGAGAGAUGCCAUCUACAGGGAAAUGUGCUUCAAGAAAGGAAUCCAGCCUCUUGGUAUUUUUCUUCCCUUUUAGGGAAAUAAUUUAGAAACAUAAGGAGCACAAUUAUUUGCUGUCCGGCCAUUUCUUUGGUUACAUGUAGGCUUCCUUUCCUUCUGUGAAAUUCAAAUACUUUCCCCAGAAGAGCAUGUAUUGUACAAGAGCCCUUUACCUGGCCUACUCUCCGAAGAUGGACGUAGAAAGGGGUCCCCGUCAGCAUUGCUGGGGGUGCUGGUUUUGGCACCUCCUGGACGUUUUCUGUGUGUACUCCUCAGUGUGACGUGUUUCUUAUAGUGAGCGGGCAUGGCUAAUAUACAAACAAAACCUUAAAAAACACAACACAUUUCUGGAAAAGAGACAAUCCCACAAUGGGGGUGGGGAUACCCUCUGAGCUCCCCAAGGGGCCGCCUCUCCGUGUCUUCCCCUCCACGGGGUCCCGGGGACUUCCUGAGCUCCGCAGGAACCAGCCACAGGGAGGUCCUCGCCGGGGGCUCAGAGCAGGUGACUGAGCCUCCCCAGGGCUGUGUCUUCCGCUGUAAACCUAGGAAGUCACCCUUGCCUUGCCUCACUUUCAGGUGACGGUGAGGGACACUUGAAGUGCAGGGCCUGUCCUCCGUGGCUAAAGGGCAAAGGGACAGACUUCUUAGCGUCUUGUUCAGCAGGGCAUCCAGCUGGAACCAGGUCUGAGGGCUGCCUGUAGGUCGGUCAGGGGGCUCUCUGCAGCGGUUUCUGGGUCCGAACAGCCACUCUCACGGUCUCAGCUCCAUCUAGUGUCCACACUGGGACACGGUCACUUGCGACAGACUUCCCCUCAUUUCUACACUUGUGAAGGUACAGCAUUCAUUGGGCCAACAGGAUGUACAUAAGAUCAAUUUAAAUCAUUCCUCCCUGUGCUGAGAUUUGGUAUUCCAAAGCAAGCUUUAUACAAGUUCAGUACUACUAAAGGUUUGUGCCUCCGGUCUUUGGAAGGAUAGCACAUUCACGCAACAAAUAAUACUUACAAUAAUUGAUAUUUAUUGAAUGUUUACCAUGUGCUGGGCACCAUUCCGGGUCCUUUAAUUGUGUGAGUUCACUGUGGUGGUGAGGUGCUUAUUGUCCCAUUUUAUAGAUAGGAACACUGAGGCACACAGGUAACAGUAAAAUUCAUCACUCUUGAUUUGUGCGGGCAGGUAGAGGCCAUGUCAUGGGGCUGGAGAUGAGGACGCAGCCCGAUGGGAAGCUCCUCCAGGCUGAGUAGAGAGGAAACGGGGGCUGAGACAGCCCUGGGACUUGGGCUAGGUCUGAGAGGUGA